CUUUAGCAUCCUCGCCGCGCCCUGAGCGCGCUGGAGGCUCGCGGGCUGCGCCCUCCCAGGGCUGAUGCCGCGUCCUGCUCCGCUGUUCUGGGACGUCGGGGACAAAAGUGGAGGAGACGGGAGAGCCCGGGCAGAAAAAGCAGGACGCGCGUCCCAGGAUGCUUUCUGUUGCAGACAUUGUUGCAGACAUUAUUGCUGGUAACAGAUGCCUGGUUCACUCUUAUCCAGGCUGUACCUGAGGACUGCGCUCCUCUUCUAGAGGUUUGGUGCAGGCAUCUGACUUAAUUCAUCCAGCGCAUUUAUCUGCAGGCUGGAGUGCAAUGGCACAAUUUCAGCUUGCUGCAAUUUCUGCCUCCUGGGUUCAAGCAAUUCUCCAGCCUCACCCUCCUGAGUAGCUUGGAUUACAGGUGCCCACCACCAUGCCCGGCUAAUUUUUGUAUUUUUAGUAGAGAUGGGGUUUCAUCACAUUGGUCAGGCUGGUCUGGAACUCCUGACCUCAGGUGAUCUGCUUAUUUCGGCCUCCCAAGGUGCUGGGAUUACAGGCGUGAGUCACGGCACCUGGCCUAUGAGAUGAUUUUCUUGGGCAGAAUGAAAGCAGCUUGGCUACUGGGCUCAUUUUAUGUGAACAGGUUGCUCCCUGUUAUAGUCAGUCACUGGAACCCAUUGUAAAGUCGGUUCUGGGUUUUUGCUCAGCUAUCAUGUAAUAACCGUCACAGCCUGUCUCCUGCCCCCUAAUGCCUUCACCAUUGCAGGUGGAUAUUUUUACCUCUACUUUAUAGUUAGGAAGCCUGAGACUCAGAGGGACUGAAGAGCUUCUCCCAAAUCAUAUGGCUGGUAACACCAGGAACCUGAGCUGCCUGAGUCCUAACCAUCAUUCUACCUCAGCAUUGAAUUCCAAGGCUUCUAGAAUCUUACCCUCCUUCCCUGUUUGAAAUGUAUUUUUUGGAGAACAAUUGACCUCAGAAUGAGUAAUUUGUCACUACUCUGAGAAAGUUUCACCAAGUUUCACAUUUUUCCAUUACGAAAGGAAAAUGAGAAAAAUAUGUCCUAGAUACUACAGAGAAAAUGUUUCAUUGUCUUAAUUGCCUUUCUAUUUCAAUCAAGGAAGGCAUUUAAUUAUUUCUGAACUACAUUCAAAACUCUCUCUCAAGAAUAUUACUCUCCCAAGGUGAGUUAACCAAAGCUGUGCACAACAUAUCUCAAGUCUGAAUAAUAACAUCAAAAAUUUAUUGAGCACUUUUUAUAUGCCAAACUAGUCUAAAUUCUUUCUGUUUAUGACCUCAAUUAUUCUUCACAGCAAGUCUAUGAAGUGAAAGCAAUCAUUCUCUUCUAACAAAUGAGGAAACUGAGGUACAGAGGGAUGAGAUCAUCAAGAUCUUAAGGCAGUAGGUGGUGAAGUCAGCAUUGGAUCCGAGGCCACUCCUGAAGCCACCACUCCACUAUGCUGCCUGUCUAGAGAAAUAUUUGAGUUCUCCUUUGAGAUACCCAUUUCUGAGUAUACGUGCAAAAGCAAUGUGGAGAAACCACCCAAGAUGACUUGAUUAAGCUACAAAGGGACAUCUGCGGUCUCAAGCCUCUGGAAAUCAAGGUGGAGGCUAUGGGGUCAGGAGAGGCA